GGAUCUGCUAUUCUGUUCUUUUUAACGACUGGUUUUUAAGAAACUCUUUCCCCAAUUUCUUUAUGGUAAACAAGAUUUGCAUCCAAUAUAGUGUUCUGGGUUCUUUUGAAGUUUUUUUCCGCCCUUUUCUUCACAAUGGCAAAAACUUGGUCUACAGUAGCGCUCAUUUUAAUUUCUGUGUGUUAAUGUGAAUCAUACACGAAUAUUUUAUGUUAUUUUUUUUUUUUUUGUAUAACAGUAGAUUCUAUCCCAUACAUGUUACUAUUUGAGUAGAUUCAGUUUCUUCCCAGAUAUAUACCCAAUAUAUUUUUAUCUAGUUUUAUCAGUUUAAGAAAAAAUAUUUGAUCUGAUCGAUAAAAUCCUGAUAGAUGAUUCAGGCACACUUUUUGUAACGUUAAACUAUUAGACUAGAUGGUCUUAACUAGGAAUGCCUCCUAGCCUGGAGCUGCUGCUCAUUUGUUACAAGCAAAAGAUAACUGCUUAUUUUUUUUUUUAAGAGGUGAUUAACACAUGUUGGUUUCAUUCAUAUUUCAGAUUGAAAUAUUGCUGGCGAAAACCGAGGACUUUGAUGAAUUGAUGGCUGCUGCUGCUGAAGAGAGGGAGAUGGAUGACGUUGAGGAACAGAGUUGAAUGGAUUGCGAGUUCACAAAGCUUCUAGGCUGUUGUUUGUCAAUCCAUGUGUUCUUCAAUGCAUUCGAUAAUAGUAUCUGUGCUUGGCUACAUGCCUUAAAUGUGGAUUUGUUGCCUAAUGGUGGUCAUUGUAGUCUCAUUUCCAGAGUGUGUAGUAGAUGUGAUGUAGUUUCUUAGCGUCCAGUUAGAAACUAGCUUCGGAGCAGGACUGUAAAAAAAAAAUAGUUUUCUGGAAUUCUGAUAUAGAUUUGUCUUUAUAAAGAAAAUAUUCUUAUUUAACCGUAUACUCUAGAGCUUGAUAAAAUGUUCAUUUUGGUCAUUAUACUUUGCACGUUUUUGCAGUUU
rnacentral:lncRNA from 1 species